UGGCAGUUAAAGAACAGAGACGGAGCACUAAGACUGCAUGGCUACAUUUUCCCAGUGCCACCAACUGGGAGUUAAGCUGACUAACAUUUUCAAAGCCCAACCCAUUUCCUUCACAGCAGGCAUGGUAGG
rfam:Dasypus novemcinctus cont2.89245, whole genome shotgun sequence.